rnacentral:lncRNA from 1 species
AUGAAGAUGGUUUGAUAAUGUUGAUAUGAGAGGGUAUUUAUAGAUGAAUAAAUGAGUAGGUUUAGAAACUAUAAUGAAUUACUAUUGGUUGCAUGCAACGACAUAAGAGGUUAAAAACCUAGUGAAUGACAAAAGAGGAAAAAUCAAUGACACAAAGUGAAAGGGAAUCUAGCAUAGCAUGUGUGAAUGACAAAAGUAGCAUAAGGGAAUCAUAGGCGCAUGUGAAGAAAUCACAUGCAAUAGGAGGAGGAGCC